CCAGACUCCUACGGGAGGCAGCAGUGGGGAAUAUUGCACAAUGGGGGAAACCCUGAUGCAGCAACGCCGCGUGAGUGAAGAAGUAUUUCGGUAUGUAAAGCUCUAUCAGCAGGGAAGAAGAUGACGGUACCUGAGUAAGAAGCCCCGGCUAACUACGUGCCAGCAGCCGCGGUAAUACGUAGGGGGCAAGCGUUAUCCGGAUUUACUGGGUGUAAAGGGAGCGUAGACGGCUGCGCAAGUCUGAAGUGAAAGCCCGGGGCUCAACCCCGGGACUGCUUUGGAAACUGUGUAGCUAGAGUGCUGGAGAGGCAAGCGGAAUUCCUAGUGUAGCGGUGAAAUGCGUAGAUAUUAGGAGGAACACCAGUGGCGAAGGCGGCUUACUGGACUGUAACUGACGUUGAGGCUCGAAAGCGUGGGGAGCAAACAGGAUUAGAUACCCGAGUAAAC
rnacentral:rRNA from 1 species